rnacentral:rRNA from 1 species
AUUGAACGCUGGCGGCAUGCCUUACACAUGCAAGUCGAACGGCAGCACGGGUGCUUGCACCUGGUGGCGAGUGGCGAACGGGUGAGUAAUACAUCGGAACAUGUCCUGUAGUGGGGGAUAGCCCGGCGAAAGCCGGAUUAAUACCGCAUACGAUCUACGGAUGAAAGCGGGGGACCUUCGGGCCUCGCGCUAUAGGGUUGGCCGAUGGCUGAUUAGCUAGUUGGUGGGGUAAAGGCCUACCAAGGCGACGAUCAGUAGCUGGUCUGAGAGGACGACCAGCCACACUGGGACUGAGACACGGCCCAGACUCCGACGGGAGGCAGCAGUGGGGAAUUUUGGACAAUGGGCGAAAGCCUGAUCCAGCAAUGCCGCGUGUGUGAAGAAGGCCUUCGGGUUGUAAAGCACUUUUGUCCGGAAAGAAAUCCUUGGCUCUAAUACAGUCGGGGGAUGACGGUACCGGAAGAAUAAGCACCGGCUAACUACGUG